rnacentral:tRNA from 1 species
GGAGAGAUGGCUCAGUGGUUAAGAGCACUGACUGUUCUUCCAGAGGUCCUGAGUUCAAUCCCCAGCAACCACA